rnacentral:rRNA from 1 species
CCUACGGGGGGCUGCAGUGGGGAAUAUUGGACAAUGGGCGAAAGCCUGAUCCAGCCAUGCCGCGUGUGUGAAGAAGGCCUUCGGGUUGUAAAGCACUUUCAGUGGGGAAGAAAGCCUUGGGGCUAAUACCCUCGAGGAAGGACAUCACCCACAGAAGAAGCACCGGCUAACUCCGUGCCAGCAGCCGCGGUAAUACGGAGGGUGCGAGCGUUAAUCGGAAUUACUGGGCGUAAAGCGCGCGUAGGCGGUCUGAUAAGCCGGUUGGGAAAGCCCCGGGCUCAACCUGGGAACGGCAUCCGGAACUGUCAGGCUAGAGUGCAGGAGAGGAAGGUAGAAUUCCCGGUGUAGCGGUGAAAUGCGUAGAGAUCGGGAGGAAUACCAGUGGCGAAGGCGGCCUUCUGGACUGACACUGACGCUGAGGUGCGAAAGCGUGGGUAGCAAACAGGAUUAGAUACCCCAGUAGUC